GCCACGGGUUCAUUCCGGCUUGGCUGGCUCCGCCCCUCAAGCGCCGGGCGGGGCUGUCCCCAGCUCUCUGCCGAGGUACAGCUUGUGUCUCAUCGAGUGUCUCCAUUAGUGUUUACAUUCUGUUAUAGAAGUUGUGUAUCUUCUUGCACCGCUCAGAUUCCUGAAAAGUGCAAGCUAUGUUUUGUUGGGCUAGGAAGGUGUGGCCUUUUGGGAUUUCUGACCAACCAGCCUUUUCAUAUGCAGAGAAGAUAACAGAAUUUGGCUUCUUAGAGCUGUACUCAGCCCGGAAAAAGUUUGUGUAGAGCAGGGUUUAGGUGCAAGACAGUUAUCCAGCUUACUCUGAAAAACUAUGUAGAAGCAAUUGAAGACCUAAAAUUUCAGCAAAUUUUUCAGUAAGCCCAUUACCACAGCUGACUGUAUAUACAGCUAUAAGCUUUUGGCACUCCUCAUCACCAAUCUUGUGAAGUCUCUGAUACUGUUCUUAUUUUACAGCCUUCCAGGUCGCUGGGAUCAUCAGUGUGUACCACCACCUGGGGCCAUGAGACUUUUAGUGACCAUGAGUGGAGAAUAGAUUAUUGGGAGGCAAAGACUAUAUACUUUGAAACAGAGAUUUGCUACUGGAGAUGCUAAUGGAUGCCUUUUAUGGAAAUCACAGAGAAAAUUCUGCAAAACUGUGGUUAAUUAAUAACAAGCUCAGUUCUCCCACUCAUAUUUUAAAUCCUACCAUGCUACCUCUUUGUACCUGGGAAAUAAAAAGUCUGCACAGUGGGAUAAAGGGUCUGUGCCAGAAGGCUGAAGGGUCUGCACUGGAGCCAGGAAGUGACCCUCAAAGGACCAGAGCUCCUCCAGAGAGAAUCACAGUCGUCCUCAGGGACGGCGAAGACUGGAGCUCCUCCAAGGAUGUGAGAAGCUGAGUUCAUAUCAGGAAAACCAGUGUGACAGCUUCUUCUCCAGGAGGAUCAACAGCACACCAGUUCUCCUUUUGUGUCUUGGCAGCAGUCUCAGCUGGGCUUUCCACACCGAAAGCUACACUGUUUCAGUUUAUCUGUGUGUUACAAGUUGACCUUAUUAAUCCACCACACUUACAGUCACAGAAUUGACCCCGUCACUGGUGCCAGUGUUUUGUGUGGGUCACUUCCCUGUCACUGGGAUAAAAUAUCCAAUAUCUGAAACUUAAAUGAGGACAGAUUUAUUUUGGAUCACAGUUUCAGCAGGUUCAGUCCUUGGUGGGCUGUCCUCAAGGCAGAGACAUCAUAGUGGCAAGCCUGGCAGAGGAAAGUCACUUGUGUAAUGCUGGCCGAGAAUCAGAGAGCAGAGAGAGGAGCCAGGGGGAACACAUCUGGUCACGCUCCCAGGGAACUGCCCCUUUUGUCUAGGCCUCACCUCCUAACAGCAUAUUCAGCUAUGAACUUACCAACGGACUGUUCCACUGAGACCCAAUCACUUUCAAAAUUCCCAUCUCAGGGCUGGGGAUUUAGCUCAGCGACAUAAGCACCUGCCUUGCAAGUGCACAGUCAUGAAUUUGAUUCCCUGGUAGAAAAAAAAAAAAUCCCCUUCUCUGACUAUAAGAAUUUGGGGGCCAUUUUAGAUGUUACCCGCAAUGCCACUGACAUCCGUCUUUCUGCCUCUGUCACCCAAAUGAAACUGUCUUCAUUGUGGUUACAAUUUCCUAAUCGCCAAAUCCAACAUUUCACUUUUAGUCUACUAUGGUUUAGGUGUAGGAUGUCAGACAAAGGCCAGGCAUUAGGAGUUUGGUCUGUGCUUUGCUGUUAUGCGGAGGUGGUAGAAACUAAAAGGGGGGUCAAGUAGGGAUCUUCAGGUCAUUAGAGCGGCACCUUUUAAGGGGCUGCUGAGAAUUCAUCCCUUUCCAUUUCUCUCUUUUAUUUUCUGGACUUGAAGUGAAGUCUUGCAUUAUGAUAAGCUGCUUCAUUGUACACCAAAAUAACAGAGCCUAUUUUUCAUAGAUUAAAGCCUUCAAAACUGAGUUGAGACAAAUCUUUUCCCUGUAUUAGUUGACUUAUCGCAAGUGUUUGUUACAAAGUUAGAAAGCUGACUAAGCAUUGUCCUUACAUCAUUUACACUUUGAGCAGCACAUGCUUGUUGACUAUCUCAUCUUUCAGUUCUGCCUUCUUUUGGUUUUGGGGCCGUUAGUCUCACAAAGUUAACUUCAUUUAUCUGUUCCAACCUUUCUGUCUCUUAUAGUUCUGUUAAAGCCCUAACUGUUGGUUUUCUUUAUCACUUUUUUUCAUCUCAAACUAUGUAUGAUUUAUUCUGUAUUUUGGUCAGUAAAUGCUUUCCAUGUGCUGAUGACUUUCAAUUAUAUAUUUUUCCUUUUCGUGUUCUACUUGAUAUCAGUUUUUUAUGGCUUCUUUUUAAUUUUUUUCUAUUUUAACAUUUUAAUUUUUAAAUUUAAAAUUAAAAAAUUAAUUUUAGAUGCCUCACAGAUGCCUAUUAUUUCUUCAAUAUCCUCUUUAAUUUCUAUCUAUCUAUCUAUCUAUCUACCUAUCUGUCCAUGUGUGCUGAAUAAUCUAUCAGGUCUCAUAAUUUUCACUCACCACAAUUUUUCUUUUUUUCAGUAAAUGAUUGCAUCUUCUUUGCAUCCUCUGAAAAAAGAAUUUAGGACCUGUGCUAUAUUUUUAUAUUGUACUCAUUUCCUCCUAUCUCACAGUAUUCAUUCAAAGAACUUAGAAUUGUUGCUUUUAGGUUGCGAAAUCUCAGCUGUAUUAUACGGAAUACUCACCGAUCACCUUGUUGACUAUGUCAGCCAUCUUCGCCAUUUCUAAUCCCAUUCUGUAAUUAUAAUUUCCAGGGUGACUUAUUAAUAGAAAGGUUAUGAUUCCUAACAUAUUGUAGGAUUAAGGGAACAUGAAGACCACAAUCUGCACUUUGCAUACCUUUCCCUCCUUACCACACAGUCCUCUCCCAGCUGCAUCCCCAUCCACUUACCAGUUUCCUAUUCAGACAUGUAGUUUCCACAGUGAUCUCAUGAGUCAUGCUUACUUUGUCUUCCUUUUUGCAGGAGAAUUCAUUUAGCAGCUUCAUCUUUGUUGCAUGCUGAAUAGGAUUAUUUUACUACAUAGUGUUUUUAGAACUUAAUUAUUUGUUAUGCAGGAAAAGAGAAAAGAAGAAAAAGAAAAAAUAUAUACACAAAAUAUUUAAGAUAGUUAUACUACUAAUUGUUAUUAGUUCAUUAAAAAGAAAGGUUUGUCCACUUCUGGGCAUAUUCCCAAAAGAACUGAAAACAUGAUACCACACUGAUAUAUGUGCACCUAUGUUUAUAGCAGCACAAUUUGUAAUAGCCAGGUCUUGGAAAAAACCUAAAUGUCCAUCAACUGAGGAAUGGAUAAAAAAGAUAUGGUAUUUUUGUACAAUGGAGUCCUACUCAGCUAUAAAGAAUGACCACAUUGAGGUAAAAAUAAAUGGACACCUUAGACCAUACUCAUAAGGGCAAUAAAUCAAACUCAUAUGUAUAAAUACUGUAUAGUCUCCCUAGUGUAAGAAAUGGUAAGAAUACAUAAGAUUUUAUGGGAAUCAUGGUUACCCAUUAUAUUGCUUUGAAGUCUUAUAAUGUUUUCAUUCAUUGAUUGGAAUGAUUUUAUUCUGUUUUGCUUGAUUUUAUUAUGUGUGAUGGUAUGAACUGCUACUUUGAAGAAAACAAGACAUUAUGGCAGCCAUUGCUGAUUUCCUACCAUCUUGCUUUAAAGUCAUACUAUACUUUUGUUCUGUUAUUUCCAUUGGUUCUCUCAUGUUGUGUCUUAUUGAAUUUUAACAUGUGUGGUAGUAUAAACAAAUUUUUUAUGGAAAAUGAGAUAAUAUAGUAGCCAUUGUUCGUUUUCUGUUAUUUGGGUUUCAGUGCCCUUUAAUACUUUCAUUCUCUUGAAUGGUUUUAUACUAUUUUGUUAAGUUUGAUAUCAUUGUGUGUGAAGGUAUGCUCAACUAUUUCAAAGAAAAGAGAUAUGGUAGCUACUGUUAAUAUAUGGUUGUCUUGUUGUGAAGUGCUGUGUUGCUUACAUUGUUCUGUUCUGAUUUGCUUUGUUCUGUCCUCUUUUAUUCUCUUUAAAAGAAAAAAAGAAAAGAAAGAUUUGUUUGAUCAAUUUUUCUUUUUUUCCGUUUCUUGUAGUCAGGAUUUUCUUUUUUUUAAAUUUUAUUUAAAAGGAAAAAGAGAAAAAACAAAACAAAACAAAUCAAAACAAAACAAAACAGUGUAAGGGUACAAGUAAUACAGAACUACAAAAAAAAAAAACACCCAGUAAAUCACCAGUUAAUAGAUUACACAUUAUCAUCUUAGAGAUAGUUGCUCAAGUCACAGGAUACAAAGUGGACAUUCAGAUAGUGAGACUGCAAAUAAUUGUGUUCAAUGAUCCAACAAAAACUCAGUAAUAUGGUCAUGUAUCCUAACACACCUAAACACACUUGCAGUUGUAUUCUUUAGAGCACUUUUUCCCCCCUCUCUUUUUUACAACAAAAUUUACAGAUUUGGGGUUUUAUUACUCCCAUAGUUCUUAUUACUUUUUUUUGGAAGAGAAUAAAACCAAAUAUGACAAAACAAAGCUGUCAGUCAAAACCAAGGAUAGACAUAGCACAUGAUGUAAAAACAGAGUACAAGGUUAUCAACAAUGGUUACCAUAAUGCCUCUUGCUUCCUUAAAUAGAAUUGCCUAUAUCAUUAGGUUUGAUAAAGUUGAAAAAAAAAACAGUACAGAACAAGACCAAUAAAACCUAAACAUUGGAAACAUUACAGGACUACAAAAGAAGAUAAUAGUCAAACCAGAAUGGGCAUCAUAGUGAAUCUUAUUGCCUUCAAAGUAGUUGCCUAUACCCUCAAACUUGAUACUAUCAAACAGAAUGGAACAGAGUCUAAAAUCAGUCAAAACAAGAUAGUGGGAAUUAUACAGGACUUCAAAUCAAGUACAUAGGAAAUCAAAAAAGUUACUAUACUAUAUCCUGCUAAUUUUUUGAUUUUUUCCCCUUAAUUAAAAAUAAUAAAAAAUAACUAAAUAAUUUUUUUAAUGAAUAAGGGAGAGAUUGAGUUAAAAGACAAUAACAACAUAACAAUACAGGUCAAAGCAUGACAAUUUCAGCAACCUAGUGCUUUACCACUAAAUAACCUGACUUAAUAGUAAUUACCGUAGUGUCUUUUUCCUUGAAAUAUUUGAAUAUAACUUCAUAUACUAUAGCAUCAAACAUACCAAGACAGUGUAAAACCAUUCAAGUGGAUGAAAGUAUUACAGGAUAUUUAGAACCAGCGAACAGAAAACGAACAAUGGUUUCUGUAUUAUCUCUUUGCCUAUAACAAUUUUUGUUUAUACUAUCACAUAUAAUAAAAUCCAGCAAAUACAACAUGAUAAAACCAAUGGAGAGAGAAGAGCCAUAGUUUGGUGGGGCUUCAAAACAAGAUGAUAUUAAAUCAGCACUAGCUGUUAUGAUGUCUUGUUUUCUUCAAACUAGCUAUUCAUUUCAUCACAAGCAAUAGUAUCAAGCAGCCCAGAAUAAAGCCAUUCCAAUUAAUGAAUGAAAACUUUAUAAGGCUUCAAGGCCACAUAAUGGGAAAUCAUGAUUACCACGUACUUUUAUAUGUUUGAAUCAUUUCUUACACUAGGGAAACUAUUCGGUAUUCACACCUGCGAGUUUGAUUUAUUUCACUUAUGAGUAUGGUCUAAAGCUGCGCCCAUUUAUUUAUAAAUAUCUCAAUGCGAUCCUUCUUUAUAGCUGAGUAGUACUCCAUCAUCUUGUUAUAUAAGCAACUACUUCAAAGUUAACAAUAUGCAAUAUACUAUCAAUUUACUCUCCUACAAUCUUGUUUUGAAAUUUUGUACCAUUGUUUUAUCUUUUCUUUAAAAUAAAAUAAAAAAUUAUAUAUGAUUUUCUAGUACCUUCAAAUAGAUUACAAAUUCCUGGAGAACCUAAAUUGCAUGUUACAUUUAAUUUUCAAUUUCCUACAAAAACCUACCCUAGUUUUAGUAGGCACUUAAAAGUAUUUGUUGAAUGAAUACUUAAAUAGUCGAAUAACACAUCAAAAAUAUUUUUUAAUGCAUAUCUAAUUUUAUGAAUUGUUAAUCACUGUUUCUAGUGACUGAGUUUAAGCAUAUAAAUUCUAGAUAAAUAGGAAAAUAUUUUUAAAAUCUUGAGAGCUUUCUUUCUUUCUUCCUUCCUUCCUUCCUUCCUUCCUUCCUUCCUUUCUUCCUUCCUUGGAAGAGCUAGGGAUUUGGAAAUUUAGAUUCACUUCAGUGGCCUGGUACUUUUCAGGUAUUAUCUUGAUGCUCUUCCUGAGUACUGUAGUGCAUUUAUUCAUAAAAUGUUGCUUACUACAUUAGUAACCUAAAUAUUUGGAUGGUUCUGAGUGAGUAAAACCUCUGUACAGUCCUGGGUAGGAGGGGAAACAUAUUUAUUAUUUAACCAAAUCAUGUAAAAAAGUGGAAAUAAAAAAUAUUUUAAGUAUUAGUGUGGAAAUGAAUACAAUGUAAUAAACACUCAUAAAAGAGUUUGACCUGAUGUUGGUUGUAGAGAAAGUGAUACCUGACAGCUUAGCCUCUCUAAAUCUCCAUUACUUUCUCUCUAGCUUGGCAAUAAGCCUUCAGUUCUGUAGAAUACUUUUGUAGAGUUUGGGUAAAAUACUAUGUAAAAGGGCUUUGAGAGUACACAGUAUCAUUUUCAUUGGAUACAAGCCUCCUGUGUACAUCAUGCUUCCUUCUUUUCAAAAUACAGUAGGGCUUUCCUGUGAGUAAAUAAAGCCUCAAAAUUCUUCCAAUGUUGAAUAAAUACUUUGUUAUUUUCUUUUUUUUUUCUUUGAACAAAAAUAAAUAUCCUGCCCAUGUCUUUCAAGUAUUUAGUUUUCAGUUUACACUUUCAGUCUUUCAGAGGUGGAUUCCAAGUCACUAUCACGUAGAUUUUUUUGGAUGAAUCUGCAAAAAUGGAAAGUGAAUUGAUGGGUUCCAUAAACCUUGGCAACACUGUUUGUGUUAGUCAGCCUUCUGUCACUAUGACAAAUACUGGAGAUGACCUUUAAGCGAAGGUUUGUUUGGCACACAGGUUUGGGUUCAUGAUUUGGUGGAUAUGGCUUUGAGGGAGGAAAUGCACCAUGAAGGGAAGGGGUAGUGGAGCAGUUAGUGAUUGUUUGGCAUGUUACUCUGUGUAGUUUCCUGGUCACUCCAUGUGGUUUCUUUAAAUAGCAGCCCAGGGCUCUAAAGAGUCAUGUCCUCGAGAGAGACGAAGUCCAAUGAUAGCACCUUAAUGACUUACCCUUGUAAGUCUCAUGGAAUCCCAUUCAUCAGAUGUUUGUCAUUCAUUUCAAUAUUUUGUCAUUC